rnacentral:rRNA from 1 species
UACGAAGGGGACUAGCGUUGUUCGGAAUUACUGGGCGUAAAGCGCGCGUAGGCGGAUCGCUAAGUCAGGGGUGAAAUCCCAGGGCUCAACCCUGGAACUGCCUUUGAUACUGACGAUCUGGAGAUCGGGAGAGGUUGGUGGAAUUCCGAGUGUAGAGGUGAAAUUCGUAGAUAUUCGCAAGAACACCAGUGGCGAAGGCGGCUCACUGGCCCGGUACUGACGCUGAGGAGCGAAAGCGUGGGGAGCAAACAGG